CAGCGCGACGGAGACAAAGAUGACCAGCGGGACGACGGCGGCGAGAGUGUUGAAGCUGCCGCAGGCCAAAGUCCCGAGCUUGAUCUGCACCACGUUGAUGAGAGCCAGCAUCAGGAACACGCAACCGGCCGCCGAACCGACACCCGAGACGAGCAUCCCGAUCCGGAGGAGGGUGCUGUUGACCCGGACGAGAAUCUCGGCGGGCCGGUGGUAGGACGGGCUGCGGGUGAUCCGGAUGGCCUGCUUGAGGCCGAGGGCGACGAGGCUGGAGAAGAGGAAGGAGCUGAAGGAGUAGACGUGGAAGGAGACGAGAUCCUCGGCGACGGAGGGACCAGGGCGGCAGGCGAUGGGGUCGUCGGCCU
rnacentral:lncRNA from 1 species